AACGAACGCUGGCGGCGUGGAUAAGACAUGCAAGUCGAACGGGACUUUUUCUGGUAGCAAUACCGGAAAAAGUCUAGUGGCGAACGGGUGCGUAACACGUGGACAAUCUGCCUUAAAGUGGGGGAUAGCUCGGCGAAAGCCGAAUUAAUACCGCAUGUGAUGAGGGAAGACGUCUUUCCGAAAUCAAAGCCGCCCAGCACUUUCAGUUGAUUUGGAAUUCAGGAGAGGAUCACGUUUUCAUCGAGCGGCGGUCGUUUCAGGUAAAAUAGAGAAUCGAUUGAAGUAGCUGGGUGGCGCUUUUUGAGGAGUCCGCGGCCUAUCAGCUUGUUGGCGAGGUAACGGCUCACCAAGGCGAUGACGGGUAGCUGGUCUGAGAGGACGACCAGUCACACUGGAACUGAGACACGGUCCAGACACCUACGGGUGGCAGCAGUCGAGUAAUUUUCUCAAGUGGGGCAACCCGUGAAGGAGCGACGCCGCGUGGA
rnacentral:rRNA from 1 species